CGUUGCAGCUUCACAAAGUGCAAGUUCCUCAUCUUCAUCUUCCUCUACUUCCUCUUAGUGCAGCUCCUCCACAAUCUCUUCAAGUUAACCGAUCUCCCAUUUUCUGAUCUCAUCGAUAUCGAAGACUACGAGCCCGAAUAAGCAUUGGUGAUGGAUAACCAGCAGUUUCUUCGAGAAUGGGCUUGCCCAGAGGGCCUUCAAGGAGGUCUACUGCAGUGGCUGAAGUUAAUGGGAAAGUGAAUGGUAGUGAUCAGGGCCAACGUAGAAAGCAGGCGUGGCUGUUACAAUCAAUUAUCUAGUUGCCUCACGUUUUUUCUUUUGGUCCAAAUGAAAAUGCAGGUUGCUUCUGAAAAACCUUUCAAUAGCAAGGAUUACACGGCUGCCAAACCAUCCUGGGCUGUUUACGGAGCAGAAGAAUCUGGAUUUGAUCCAGAACAGUCUCAAUACAGGAAGGAGCCACAUCAUAGAUCAAGCCACUAACCAACUAGGAGCUUAUCUUCCUUGCCUAACAUUGUCAAAGUGGUGUGGACACCAGUCAGUGAGAGUUUGUCCGUUCUGUAUAGCGUUGCUCAGCACGAUCUCAUCCAUAUUAGUAAAUAUCAUCAUCGCGGAUGUAAUAACUUUUGUAUGAAAUGCCAUAUAGAAUCUUGAAGAAUAUGCUAACUUGUAAGUUAUUGUGCCAUUCCUCAUUUAGAAUUUGCUUCCAUCUAUGAAGUUACUGUUCACUUGCAAG